ACGGGUGAGUAAUAUAUCGGAACGUACCUUUGAGUGGGGGAUAACUAGUCGAAAGAUUAGCUAAUACCGCAUACGAUCUACGGAUGAAAGUGGGGGCUCGCAAGACCUCAUGCUCAUAGAGCGGCCGAUAUCUGAUUAGCUAGUCGGUGAGGUAAAGGCUCACCAAGGCAUCGAUCAGUAGCUGGUCUGAGAGGACGACCAGCCACACUGGGACUGAGACACGGCCCAGACCCCUACGGGAGGCAGCAGUGGGGAAUUUUGGACAAUGGGGGCAACCCUGAUCCAGCAAUGCCGCGUGAGUGAAGAAGGCCUUCGGGUUGUAAAGCUCUUUUGUCAGGGAAGAAACGGGAUGUUCUAAUACAGCGUCCUAAUGACGGUACCUGAAGAAUAAGCACCGGCUAACUACGUGCCAGCAGCCGCGGUAAUACGUAGGGUGCAAGCGUUAAUCGGAAUUACUGGGCGUAAAGCGUGCGCAGGCGGUUGUGUAAGACAGGUGUGAAAUCCCCGGGCUUAACCUGGGAAUGGCAUUUGUGACUGCACGGCUAGAGUGUGUCAGAGGGGGGUAGAAUUCCACGUGUAGCAGU
rnacentral:rRNA from 1 species